rnacentral:lncRNA from 1 species
GCGGAAAGGAGCACGGUGUUAGGGUGUUGUGCAGCGAGCAGUCCCUUUGGCUAAACGGAGGAACUGGAGAGUGGAGGAGUGGGGCCUGAGGCUGGAAAGCCCCGGGGGCAGAUGCGUGCAGCCUGGAGUGCAGGGCUGUGCGGAUUUGAUUUGACAAAGGCGGUGUGGGAUCCCACGAGGGUGCAGGGCAGGUAGGUGGGGGGAGGCGUCUGGUAGCAGUGUACAGAAUAAUCUGGAAGCACUGAAGGAACCAGCUGGAGGCUUCUACCGAAACCAGGCAGACACAAGGUUCACAGUGCUAGGAUGUUAAGGGAAAAAGUAGAAGUGGAAAGUGAGAGGUAGGAGAUAUUUUGGAGAAGGAACGGAGAUAAUCGAGUGAUUGUGUAUUUGGGGACGAGAGAAAUGACCCAAAGUGAUGGCGAUUUUGAGCUUGGGAGGCAGCGAGAAGAGGGUUCCCCCAGGUGGAGAGGGUGUGUCAUCCGGAGGGGCGGAGCUCCUUUCAGAGCCAUGUUUGUAAGGACAGUAGGAUCCCAACUGGGAACUGUCCAGGGGGCUGGAAAUCAGGACAGAGGAACAGCACAGAGGAACUAACCCAAAGGAUGAAAGAGAUACUACAGAUCUGAAAGGGAGCUAACAGAAAGGAAGAAAGAGAAACAGGGACGGGGAACACCGGCCUUGGGGAGGAGAAGCUGGUGGCCAGGCUGUGGAGGGAAUAUGCAGCGACCUGGCUGCAAACUUCCUGACUUCAGAGGCCAGGCUGGAGCCCAAGAAGGCUUUGAGGACCCGGGGCUGUGCUCCUCGUGUGAGCCAAGUGUAGUCCCUGGCGGUGACGCCAGCAGCCCGGCUCUGCCCGCGUUCCGGCGGCGGGGGGGGGGGGGGGGGGGGGGGGGGGGCGGGGUGCGGACCAGCUGAGCAGGACCAGUGCAGCUCCACGGCAGGAGGCCAGGUUGCCGUCUCUGGUCAGACCCCAGCAGCAGCGCCCCGUAUCGCCAGGGCUCGCGAACCACCUCGGCUGGGGUGUGCUGGCCCGCUCUGCUCAUGUGCUUCGGGUCUUUAUUCCGCUUUGAAUGGGUUUCUUGAAAAACAAACUCUUUGACGUAAAAAAAAAAAAACAACAAAAAACAAAAACAGAACCAGUUUAUGGUCUUUAGAAUGUUGAUUUGAAAUAAAGCAAAUAUUGGUGACAUGCUCUGCAGAUAGUUACAUAAAGCUGUGAAAGAGCCACAAAUAAUUUACUCUAACUGCAGCAUUAAUUAUUGUCCUGUACAAAGUAGCCACCGUUAGGAGUGGUAUCAAUUCCCCAGGAGAUAAGCAUUAUAAAAAUGAUUAAAAGAAUUUCAUAUGAUUUUUGUCAUUAAAAUAAAAUCUCAAUAAACCAGCA